ensembl:lncRNA
AUGGAGGGCAUUGGAAUCUUAGCAUCCCAUUUUCCAUGUUCACCACUGUUUGUUGGUGGUUGCGACGUGAAGAAAUGUUGCCCAGCCUCUUCGAAAUGGCGUGUGAAUAAUCCCGUAAUCAGUGUAAGGAAAAGGAGAAGAUGCUGUGGUCCAGUGGAUAGGAAACGCUGCCACCAACUUUCUUAGUUUGCAGAAAAUAUGCCCAAGUCUGCCUUUUCAAAGAGAGCUAUCAGACCACAUCAGCGGCAAAGAGGGUAUAGAUUCCAUAUCUUUUGAUUCAUUUAUUCUUAGAGCAAAUCCACAUUUCCCAAUUGUGCUGAUGACUGUCAUGUAAGGUUUGCCAAAGGGUUCUGGGGUCAAAUAAAUAGGGAAACACUCAUGCCGUUGUUCAUAUUGCUUGAAGCUAUGUGAUUCACAUCCACAUAUUGCAGAACAGUAAAGAGACCCAUGUUGCUUCAUUUCAUGUUGUUUUCUGAGACUUAAUUGACUGUGGACUUUUUUUUUUUUUUUUAAGUAACAUNNNNNNNNNNNNNNNNNNNNNNNNNNNNNNNNNNNNNNNNNNNNNNNNNNNNNNNNNNNNNNNNNNNNNNNNNNNNNNNNNNNNNNNNNNNNNNNNNNNNNNNNAUGGCAACCCACUCCAGUAUUCUUGCCUGGAAAAUUCCAUGGAUAGAGGAUCCUGGCGGGCUAUAGUCCAUAGAGUGUCAAAGAGUCGGACACAAUUGAACAAAUAAGCAUGCAAGCAGGCCAUAUUCUCUAAAACUAUUUGGGUCAAAAAAACAAAGAAAGCAAGCAAAAGCAGUUCCUGUAUCUUUAUUCUGGGUGCACAGCCUUUUUUUGGGGGGGCUUUUGCAUUGCUGGUGUUCAUGUUUUUCUUGGAUGAGAAGAUGAGUGGGGACAAGGAUUCAUCUGUCAGUUCCCUUGUUCCAGGCGUUGUGCUGGUCACUCUUCUUGCCUGACUGCAUUUGAACCCCACUGCACCUGAGAUCCUCACUUUGUAGAUGAGGAUCCAAGGCUUAAAGCAGUGAUGUACCUUGUUAACAGCCACUCGGUGAGGUAAGUCGUGGAGCUAAGGGAAGACCAUGGUUGUGGACUCCGCACCAGGGCACUCAGUACUUCCAAUGCCCAUACCCUUCAGCAUAGCAAACACAGACCCCACUGCAUUCUUCCCAUGUUGGGAACCCAUUAGAGGCAUGCAUUAGUUGCUUUUUAAAAGAAGCUGUAGUCGGAGUGCACCAUUACACACAGAUCCCUUUUGGUGAAGACUGCUUACCAUUCAUACUCAAAUAACUGAAAAUUAAGUGUGUGAUAUAUAUAUAUAUACAUAUAUGUAUAUAUCCAUAUCUAUUUAUCCAUUCAACUAUCUAUCCAUUCAUCCAUCUAUAUGUAUGUAUAUCUGGCUUCCCCAGAAUGCAUUCCAGAGCCUGAAACAUAGUAGGAGCUUGGCAACAAAUAUUUAGUGACAUAAAAUAGGGAAAUAAAUGCUCCAUGAAGCAUGUGUUCAUGUCCUUACACUCCCUAGCCUCCUCUGCUUUGUUUUUCUUCAUAGUAUUCAUCACUACUAGACAUGUGCUCACUUGUUUUACAUUUUCUUAUGCAUUGGCUUACAGGGUGUCUCCCCAAAUUUGGAUGUAAACUCCUGGGAGGAAAGUUCUGUGGGUCAUUUAUUCACCACUGUGAAUUUAGGGAAGGUGCCCAGUAAAUAUUUGGUGAAAGAAUAAAUGGUUAAAUAGAGGUUUUUUACCAUUACUUCUACUCUUCCAAAACUCUUCAAAUUGCUUUCUUUAUUUCUCUACCUCUCUCUCAGGAGUAGUUAAAACUUACUUAAGGCUGUAAAUAAAGGAAGUGUAUGUUCUUAGCUAUUUCAUCCGGUGUAGCAAACACGGAAGGGCUCUGGGUUCAUGGGUGUAGGCUAUUUGCAAUACAAAAACACUUACAAACCCUGUGUACAGGAAGGUGUACUGUCAUAGGGAAAGGACAUACAGUCACGACUUUCUGCUUUCUACAAUAGCAUGUUGCUCACUCAGCACAAGGGUCUUCGGCAGAAAUCCCGUGUUAAAAACAUAAAAAUCCAGACAGCAUCUCUACUUCCUAUCCACUACAACCACACCCUUCUGGACUUCUUAACACAGGAUGGAAAAAUGUUUCAAUAUAGUUAAUCUCCUUUGCAAUUCUGUUAAAAACCAUUUUCCCCUUUCAAGAUUUUAUCCAACAGCCAAAGGGAUCUGGAAAGGAUAAGGACCCCUGAAAAGUUUUGACUAAUAUAGAAUGAGAGUAAUAUUUUGGUUGGUGCUUAGGUAGGGCAAAGAGUUGAAACAUAGGUUUUAAUCUUUGAAGUUAAAAAAUGCGUGUUUGUGGACACACACACACACACACACACACACACACACACACUCUUUCUCUCUCUCU